rnacentral:lncRNA from 1 species
CCUGCACUGGUUUCUUUUUCCCAGUUCUUACCCUAUCUUUUCUCUUUUUUGUUUCUCAGAACAGAAGUUCUUGGCAUAACACUGUUGUUACUUUACUAAUUUAAAUAAAAUCCAAGUCCAAAAGGGAAAGAGUGUGCCUAUCCUUUCAUAUUAGAUUUAUGCCACAGAUGACACUACCUUGAUAGAUACAGGCAGUUCUGUGCUAGACUUCAAUAAACUUUACAACUUUCACACUGAGCCUUUAUCAAAAUACCACCAUAAAGAAAAAAAAAAAAAACAAAUUAAAAAAAAAAUCUCAAUUUCAUUUUUAUUUUCAAUUUGCUGCAGAAAGUAGAGGAGAAGAAAAUGAGGGAAAUUCUGUCAAGAUCCAUGAUAGUCAUCCUUAUUUAACAGUACAUCCCCAUUUGCUAGACGCAGAAGCUAGGUGUUUAGGGAUCAUGUUUUCCCAGUCUUUCCCUCUGAAAUAAUCAGGCUCUGACAAUCUUUGUAGUCAAGAGCCAACAGUUUGGGUCUGAUGGCUUAAAAGAGGUCUCCCAUUUGUUCUAGAAGUCACAGAAACAAUCCCAGUUCCUUCCAACAUAACAGCAAGGCCACAGAAAAGGCUCAUCAGAGACUUCUUAGUGAAGAUAACUAGGACUGAAGAGGAGCUGCCUCUGAAACUGUCUUUUGAAACAGGUAGUAUUGGAAGGUCUCUUUUUCUGUAAUACUUUUUUCCUAGUCAAUAUCAUUUUUUUUUGCUAGUAUUCAAAUGGUCAGGAAAACCUGCUGAGAGUGGAAUUAAAUUAAAAUUCCAGCACCUACAAUCUUCAUAAUUGGCUUCCCACAUGGAGAUGCCAUUUUUCUAGGCUUUACCUAGUGAUACUGUUAGAACUCACUUCUUACCACUAUUCCAAUUCUCGCUGUUAGAUACUUUGGUGGCUUCUCAGCCAAAGACUAAUAAACUCAAUGUGUCAGAAAGUGAGAGUCCCUUCUAUCCCUUCACCUAUCAGAAAAAGUCUUAUGAAACAAAGUUAUUACGGAAGGGAGAUAGAGAUGCAAGGAGUCUUUCAUAAUUGGCUAUGUAAUUGUUAUCUGUUGUACUCCUUCACUGAGUAGGAUUUAACAGGAAUAAUGAUCUGUUGUUCUAUCAACUGUACAAUCCAUUUGUUCUUAUUUAACACUACUUUGUCCCAUUCAAGUCCUUGCAGACUGUUAUUAAAAAUGUUAUCU